AUUGAACGCUGGCGGCAGGCUUAACACAUGCAAGUCGAGCGGGGGAAGGUAGCUUGCUACCGGACCUAGCGGCGGACGGGUGAGUAAUGCUUAGGAAUCUGCCUAUUAGUGGGGGACAACAUCUCGAAAGGGAUGCUAAUACCGCAUACGUCCUACGGGAGAAAGCAGGGGAUCUUCGGACCUUGCGCUAAUAGAUGAGCCUAAGUCGGAUUAGCUAGUUGGUGGGGUAAAGGCCUACCAAGGCGACGAUCUGUAGCGGGUCUGAGAGGAUGAUCCGCCACACUGGGACUGAGACACGGCCCAGACUCCUACGGGAGGCAGCAGUGGGGAAUAUUGGACAAUGGGGGGAACCCUGAUCCAGCCAUGCCGCGUGUGUGAAGAAGGCCUUAUGGUUGUAAAGCACUUUAAGCGAGGAGGAGGCUACUUUAGUUAAUACCUAGAGAUAGUGGACGUUACUCGCAGAAUAAGCACCGGCUAACUCUGUGCCAGCAGCCGCGGUAAUACAGAGGGUGCGAGCGUUAAUCGGAUUUACUGGGCGUAAAGCGUGCGUAGGCGGCUUAUUAAGUCGGAUGUGAAAUCCCCGAGCUUAACUUGGGAAUUGCAUUCGAUACUGGUGAGCUAGAGUAUGGGAGA
rnacentral:rRNA from 2 species